rnacentral:lncRNA from 1 species
UUAUAGAUGAUCAUCUGAGUCAUCCUCCAUGCUGGAAGAACCAUCCGCCCUCGCGUUCCUCUCAUUUCCGAUAUGCAUGUGAAUGUGUUUUAGUUCUUGACGGAGCUUGAUUUUUUGAUUCCUUUUUGAUGCUUAACAUGCGUUGUAUAUUCUUCAAACACUCGAAUUGUUUUUCUUUGCUAUUUCAAGGGUUGAAUAGGCUUCAAAUCGGAAGAUCCUAUUAUUGCGUUCUUUCCAG